rnacentral:rRNA from 1 species
GCUUCUGGGUGGGUUUUCUGAAGGGUUCGUGUCGGCGGCUCUACCGGUAGCGGCUCUGCCGUCGCCGCCACCGCUGCUGCUGCUGCUGCAGGCUGUGUCGCGGGUACAGGGGCCGGAGACGCUUCCGGCCCCGCCGCUAGCCAGGCCGCUGCCCGCGCUGCGCCGCGCCCACCGACGCGGCCGAGCACGGCGCCCUCAUGGACGGGGCAUCGGCGGCCACCUUCUGGGCGCCGCGACCGCCGGGGCCACGACGACUCCGGCGCUUACCCCCGCCGCGCCGCCCCGGCAGAAGCAUGGCCUCCGACCGCAGCAGCGACAGCGCCAGCAAGGCCACCUUCGCCUACGGCCGCGAGGGCAGGGAGUCGGACGCGCGGCCGAGCCGCAGCCGCCGCGACCUGCUCCACCGGAAGGCGCAGUACAUGCACCAGCUCCGGCAGCACGAGCCGGAGCGCGAGAGGACGAAGAAGGAAACGACGCCGACGGUGUAGAUCGGACGGCGGUCGGUACAUAAGAGACAAUGACAAACAAUCAACGAGAGCCAAGAAACCAAUCAUUAAAAAAGCAAAAGUAGCUAGCAGAUGAAUGAGACGACAUUUAAAAGGUGGCACUCCUUUUAGGUACCUUUUUAAGGGUUAGACGAGUUCUACUAAAGGCAGCAAACCCCUACUUGCCUACUACCUACCACACUACGUUAAAAUCAAAAACCUCGGCCCUCAACAAAUAAUGUUCCAGACAGCGACAGAGCACGUUUACGAACGUGCUGCUGCUGUUUUUUUAGAUCGAAACCAAUCAACCCCUAACCCUCACUUCCUCCUGACGUUCUUCUCCAGUACCGGUACCUCCUCCGCUGUCGCUGCCGCAAACCGAAGGGCCGCCUCCACGCCGGCCCCCGGUGCGCCCACCCCACCCAGCCGUAGCCGCAGUACCCGCCGCGGUACCGGCGCGCGGAGGAGCGGCGGCCCAUGCGCCACUGCCGGAUGCGCGCGUGCGGCCGGUUCCGCCCCCCGGACCAGCGGCGGCCUCGCGCGGAGCGCCUGAGCGGCCGGAGGCACCGGCGCCGGAGGCUGCACCAGAAGUGGUACCAGCCGUUGGGGCCGCUGCAGGCGCGGCAGCAGGACCUGCGUCGGAGCCCGCGGGAGCGCCCCGAGGCGGGGCCGCCGCACGAGCACCUGACGUGGUCGAGGAGGGGGAGGGAGCGCGCGCUCCAGCGGCGCCGGCGCGCGCGGCGGCCGACGGUGCGGCACCUGACGGGGCAGAGGCCGCCGCUGCAGCCGCGCGCGCUGCCGUGCGAGCGGGAGGAGCGGCCGCCCCUGCUCCGGCACCACCGCACCGAGCGGGGCGAGAAGCGGGUGGAGCCGUCCGGCUGGAUGUACCCGGGCGGGCCGUCGCCGGUCUCGUCGUUCUAGCGCUUGGUCUAGCGCCACCGCCCGCGCCACCAGCCGGAGCCGCUCAGGGACCGGAAGCGGCCGCGGCGGCCCGACCUGCUCGCCGACAAGGAGCCGCGCCACAGGUUCCCGCGGCGCCCCAGCGCGCACUACCUGUAGAAGCCGCUCGCGCGCGACUCGGCGCUGAAGUGCAGGCCCCCGCGGCACGCCAUGUAGUAGUUCCUGGAGCCGUACCGCGACCUCCAGCCGCUGCCGGUCCUCCUCCUACUCCAGUUGCACGACGGUCCCAGCCGCGACAUGGCCGUCUACAAGAGCCGGUACCGCCGCUUGCCGCUGCCGCUCGACACGGACGUCCCUGACUAGUGGCAGCAGCUCGCGGACUUGCCGUAGGCGUUCACUCCGUCCCGUCCACAAGCAGUUUUACGCCAUCGCCCUAUACAUAGAGUACCAGUACAUAAUAAUCUAAAGGACCAGUUUUAAGUUAGAGAUACAGUAUAAAAAUUGGUUGCUAAACACCUACGAUAGUAGCUAGUAUGACAAUAGUACGAAAUGAGCGACUAAACACCUACGAUAAGAACAAAUAACAACUACAAGUGUGGUCAUUAAGUCAAGAAAAAUGGUUCACUCCAUGAGACUACUUAAUGGUUGGGUUCUAUGUCUAAGUAUAGACGGAAAAAUGUAAACGUAGAGGUUUUCUUUUGGUUCCUUCAUCGUCACUCGUUUUUAACUCUGCUACGACGUGUACCGUAGAAGAUAAGUCUACUACCCUACACUAUGAUUAGACUGUCGGUUCCUCGUUAAACGUUUGGAACAUUUUAAGGUUCCCGGAAAGCGGGUUGGUUGGUACACUCUAAAGGUCCACAGACAGUCCAUAAACGUGGCACGUUCUAUCGUAUAGAUGUGGCCUCGGAAAGGGACACGUCACGUGACGAAGUCAGAGGAAUAGAGAAAGUGAGGGUGUUUGGAAGUCGUCGUUCUUACCGUCGCGGCCCGAGCGAUCCUGAAGAGGUCCGCGGCAGGAAGCGGCGCCGGUUCACGGCAGGCCACUGCCGGUGCUCGGCCCCUCGCCGUGCUCGGCACAAGCGGCAGGCGCGGAGCCGUCGAAGACGCCGGUGGUUCCUGCGUCAAGAGUCCGGGAAGGCACUCUUGUCCCGAGAGUUCUAGUAAAGCCCCGAAGUCUUGAAGCUGUCCAGGUUACAACGCAGACAGCAGUGCCGACGCCUAUUCCCUCCACGAUGGGUACAACUAUAUCGUACACUGGUCCUGAACCAUUUCGAACGCGACCUCGAAUGAUUGGAAGGCUAUACACAUAGCAGACAACUGGGAAGUAGUAAGGUUAGACGCCAUCUUCGACCACGCGUUUACUAACUCUAACCUUUGAUACUAAGGAAAAUGCUACGUCCGUAGCUUAAGAGAAGACUCGUUUAUGACUUGAACUGUUCCCUCUGUUCCUUCUAUGAAGGUCUGUAGUGUAACAGUCAUUGUCAAGGAGUGUGAGACUCGGAGGGUCUAGUCUACUCUGAACGUCUCGAUGAACUUCUCCUUCCACGGCUAUAGUAGGUCUGACUUCCACCCUUCACAAGAUUAGGCUGUUUCGGACCCCACGAACCGGAUUAACUUUUCCGUUGUGGUUGUAACCGUCGGCGUAUGAGGUAGAGGUCUCGGCAGUCGUAUGGCCACUACACGCGCAGCCCCGAUUCAAGUCAAUGACGUGGUUACCGUCAUUGGCGUCCUCGACGGCCGCACCCUCAACCGAGACGCUAAUUGUUCGAGUUGCUGCAGCAGCGCUACUAGCGGCUCCACUCCUCGUAGCGUCUCCGAGACCCCUGCUGCCGAAGCUCCUUACACAGGCUCCUGGACUCUUCUCAAGUGUUAAUCAUAAUGAUAAGAUCCAGCUGUGCCGAAAAGAGACCUGUUUGAGCUCUUCAGUCAUUCCUUAGUCCUCUACAUCAAGGUCGUCAAAUCGUAAAGAGGACAGACGAUCGGAAACACGUCUAGAUCUCUUCUAACGGACUUUCUCGAUUCUAUUGAUUUAGCCAAAUGCGGAAGGAGAAAUAAAUAAAACGUAUAAUAUAGAUAUCUUAACCUUCUAUAAGAACGACCACUAUACUGGACUCGGAAACUUCUGUCACUAUUUCGAUGAAACUUAUAGCUCGAUCGUCCCCAG